GGGCGAUUAGCUCAGUGGUAGAGCACCGCCUUCACACGGCGGGGGUCGUAGGUUCGAACCCUACAUCGCCCACCA
rnacentral:tRNA from 2 species